rnacentral:ncRNA from 1 species
GAGAGCCCGGUGCCGGGACGACCGGCACGCCGGGUUCGGGGAGCGGGCCGGGGAAACGGACCACCCGAAACGGUGGCACCGCGCCCCGGUCCGACUCCAU